UAAAUUAGAAUAAACAGAAAUAAUUGUGUAUGUACGGAACACACAAGUUUCUAUUUUUGAAUUUAAUUUAUCAGUACCUACUGAUUACAUCAGUCGUAUUAUUUUAAGCAUCAACCGGCGUGGGAAACCCUAAUGAGAUAAUCUUAUCAAAUAAUCACUAUAUAUUUUUAAAAUGUAGUAAUUUGCAGCACUUAUUAUUUUUUAUCCUUCAGUAGACUGAAAAAUUUCAUUUGUAAUAAUAAGUAAUUAAUAUUAUCACUUAUUGUUUGGGAAAUACCCAGUGCAAUUUACUUAAAUUGAAAGUAAUUAAAGAAAAGAUUGAAGAUUUGACACAUUUCUAUAAAAAACUUCUGCAAAAGGUGUCAAUAUAAUGAGUGUCAUCAAAUGGUUAGGAUUUACUCAGUGUACUAUAUGGAAAUGGCAACCGGACGCGGGAUAACGGCGAGCGGGACGCUCAGCGUAAACAGUAACGGCGUGUCCGGUCGUCAUAUGCUGGUGUUACAGUAUGUGACAUUGACUGGAACGCUGGUUAGACGGCGACUUGGAAGAAAAUAAAGCAAAAACUUGAGCAACAUUUUAUAUGCAAAAUAUGUCAAAUCAUAUUUGCAAACUACGUCGCGAGAUUGAGAAAAUAUAUUCAACAUACAAAAGCCGUAUUAGAAAUAAAAUAAUACGUAACGUUUCGAAUUCUAUGGCCACCACGACCCGGUGAGGAAACCAUCACCAAGCAUCUGUGGCCAUACAUGCCGUCAGCUGUUUCGACAACAGGGAUGAACGGACAUAUUGAUAUUCUAAAAAUUCCUAUUAGCGAUGUCUAACGGUACAUAUGUUUUUUUUAUCAGAUAUAUAAAAUAUUGUAUUUAUUCAAAAUUGUA